CACGCCCUAAACGAUGUCAACUAGUUGUCGGAGGAGAGAUUCUUUGGUAACGCAGCUAACGCGUGAAGUUGACCGCCUGGGGAGUACGGUCGCAAGAUUAAAACUCAAAGGAAUUGACGGGGGCCCGCACAAGCGGUGGAUGAUGUGGAUUAAUUCGAUGCAACGCGAAAAACCUUACCUACCCUUGACAUGUCCGGAACUUGCCAGAGAUGGCUUGGUGCUCGAAAGAGAGCCGGAACACAG
rnacentral:rRNA from 1 species